rnacentral:rRNA from 1 species
CAAUGCGGAGGAAGGCGGGGAUGACGUCAAGUCAUCAUGCCCCUUAUGGCUUGGGCUACACACGUACUACAAUGGCUCUUAAUAGAGGGAAGCGAAGGAGCGAUCCGGAGCAAACCCCAAAAACAGAGUCCCAGUUCGGAUUGCAGGCUGCAACUCGCCUGCAUGAAGCAGGAAUCGCUAGUAAUCGCAGGUCAGCAUACUGCGGUGAAUACGUUCCCGGGCCUUGUACACACCGCCCGUCACACCACGAAAGUCAUUCACACCCGAAGCCGGUGAGGUAACCUUUUGGAGCCAGCCGUCGAAGGUGGGGGCGAUGAUUGGGGUGAAGUCGUAACAAGGUAGCCGUAUCGGAAGGUGCGGCUGGAUCACCUCCUUUCUAGGGA